UAUUGGUCAAUGGACGCAAGUCUGAACCAGCCACGUCGCGUGAAGGAAGACGGCCCUACGGGUUGUAAACUUCUUUUGUAAGGGAAUAAAGUGCAGUACGUGUACUGUUUUGCAUGUACCUUACGAAUAAGGAUCGGCUAACUCCGUGCCAGCAGCCGCGGUAAUACGGAGGAUCCAAGCGUUAUCCGGAUUUAUUGGGUUUAAAGGGUGCGCAGGCGGAAGAUUAAGUCGGCGGUGAAAUUUUGCAGCUCAACUGUAAAAGUGCCUUCGAAACUGGUUUUCUUGAGUGUGGAUGAAGUAGGCGGAAUUUGUGGUGUAGCGGUGAAAUGCAUAGAUAUCACGAGGAACUCCGAUUGCGAAGGCAGCUUACUAAGCCAUAACUGACGCUCAGGCACGAAGGCGUGGGGAUCAAACAGG
rnacentral:rRNA from 1 species